rnacentral:rRNA from 1 species
AGAGCGAACGCUGGCGGCAGGCCUAACACAUGCAAGUCGAGCGCCCGUAGCAAUACGGGAGCGGCAGACGGGAGAGUAACACGUGGGAACGUACCCUUCAGUUCGGAAUAACCCAGGGAAACUUGGACUAAUACCGAAUACGUCCGUAAGGAGAAAGAUUUAUCGCUGAAGGAUCGGCCCGCGUCUGAUUAGCUUGUUGGUGAGGUAACGGCUCACCAAGGCGACGAUCAGUAGCUGGUCUGAGAGGAUGAUCAGCCUCACUGGGACUGAGACACGGCCCAGACUCCUACGGGAGGCAGCAGUGGGGAAUAUUGGACAAUGGGCGCAAGCCUGAUCCAGCCAUGCCGCGUGGAUGAUGAAGGCCCUAGGGUUGUAAAGCUCUUUCGCCCGCGACGAUGAUGACGGUAGCGGGAGAAGAAGCCCCGGCUAACUUCGUGCCAGCAGCCGC